rnacentral:rRNA from 1 species
GACGAACGCUGGCGGCGUGCUUAACACAUGCAAGUCGAACGGUAAGGCUCCAGCUUGCUGGGGUACACGAGUGGCGAACGGGUGAGUAACACGUGGGUGACCUGCCCUGCACUUCGGGAUAAGCCUGGGAAACUGGGUCUAAUACCGGAUAGGACCGCACCGUGAGGGUGUGGUGGAAAGUUUUUUCGGUGUGGGAUGGGCCCGCGGCCUAUCAGCUUGUUGGUGGGGUAAUGGCCUACCAAGGCGGCGACGGGUAGCCGGCCUGAGAGGGUGGACGGCCACAUUGGGACUGAGACACGGCCCAGACUCCUACGGGAGGCAGCAGUGGGGAAUAUUGCACAAUGGGCGGAAGCCUGAUGCAGCGACGCCGCGUGGGGGAUGACGGCCUUCGGGUUGUAAACUCCUUUCACCAUCGACGAAGGGUUUCUGACGGUAGAUGGAGAAGAAGCACCGGCUAACUACGUGCCAGCAGCCGCGGUAAUACGUAGGGUGCGAGCGUUGUCCGGAAUUACUGGGCGUAAAGAGCUCGUAGGUGGUUUGUCGCGUCGUCUGUGAAAUUCCGGGGCUUAACUCCGGGCGUGCAGGCGAUACGGGCAUAACUUGAGUACUGUAGGGGAGACUGGAAUUCCUGGUGUAGCGGUGAAAUGCGCAGAUAUCAGGAGGAACACCGGUGGCGAAGGCGAGUCUCUGGGCAAUAACUGACGCUGAGGAGCGAAAGCAUGGGGAGCGAACAGGAUUAGAUACCCUGGUAGUCCAUGCCGUAAACGGUGGGCGCUAGGUGUGGGUUUCCUUCCACGGGAUCCGUGCCGUAGCUAACGCAUUAAGCGCCCCGCCUGGGGAGUACGGCCGCAAGGCUAAAACUCAAAGGAAUUGACGGGGGCCCGCACAAGCGGCGGAGCAUGUGGAUUAAUUCGAUGCAACGCGAAGAACCUUACCUGGGCUUGACAUAUACAGGAUCGCGCCAGAGAUGGUGUUUCCCUUGUGGCUUGUAUACAGGUGGUGCAUGGUUGUCGUCAGCUCGUGUCGUGAGAUGUUGGGUUAAGUCCCGCAACGAGCGCAACCCUUGUCUUAUGUUGCCAGCACGUUGUGGUGGGGACUCGUAAGAAACUGCCGGGGUUAACUCGGAGGAAGGUGGGGAUGACGUCAAAUCAUCAUGCCCCUUAUGUCCAGGGCUUCACACAUGCUACAAUGGUCGGUACAGUGGGUUGCCAGUCCGUGAGGGCGAGCUAAUCCCGCAAAGCCGGUCUCAGUUCGGAUCGGGGUCUGCAACUCGACCCCGUGAAGUCGGAGUCGCUAGUAAUCGCAGAUCAGCAACGCUGCGGUGAAUACGUUCCCGGGCCU